UAUGAUAUAUUAGCAAUGAGUAACUGACCCUGUACAUGUACAAUGAGGAUCCUUCAUAAUUCUGAAAUAUGUUUACCACUGAGCGAUAUAAAUUUUUUGCUGCCAUACUUCAUAGAUAACUGAGGAUUUGGGAGACACAUUACCUAUAUAGGCUCUACCAGUCUUUUCCUUUUUCAGAUUCUUAUUUUAAGCAUUUCCAUGUUGGCAUUCUUAACAAUUGCUCACAUUUCAUUGAACCUAACCUUGUAAAAGUUAAGAAGUUAAUCAGACUCUCUUUUGUUUUACAGUUGAAGACUUAUGAUACCUAUCUAUUCAAAAUUUCUAAUUGGACAUCCACGUGAACAUUAGGGUUGGGGAUCCUCAAGGUACCAUAUGGACAGCCCCUUCGAGUGUCUCUUGAUGCAAACAAAGAAAGGUCGGCGGGUUUUAACAUAACCUUUCAAAGCAUCGCCUCAUCGCGUGGCUAAGAACAUCUACGUGGAUAGGAUUGGAUUCAUAGUGCAAAUUAGGAGUAGGUACAAACCUUCAUUCAUCUUUUCCGAUCUCUACCUUGGAAUAUCCAUCAUCUUGGUGAAAAAUGUGUUGAUUUCGCCUCGUGUUAUUUAUUAUCUAUAAAUAUUAUAUUUUCAUUAAUUCUCUCCGACUUAAAGGGUAACAAGUUAGUAAUCUUUCUCUCUUUUGUUUUCUGACAUUAAACUGUUUCACAAUCAUCUGUAUCAAGGUUCCUAUAAAUUGCCCCCCUCCCCACACACACACACCAAAAAAAAAAAAAAAA
rnacentral:lncRNA from 1 species